rnacentral:sRNA from 2 species
CGCCCGUCACACCAUGGGAGCUGGUAUACCCGAAGUCGGUUAGCUAACCUCGGAGGCGACCGCCUAAGGUAGGACUGGUGACUGGGGUGAAGUCGUAACAAGGUAUCCCUACGAGAACGUGGGGAUGGAUCACCUCCUUUCAACGGAGAGUACACAUACUUUUGUUAUGGAGAAAUGAUUUGUAUCCAGUUUUGAGAGAUCUAUCUCUCUUUUUGUUCUUUGAAAACUGAAUAUCGACAUUGAAAAAUUAAAUUAUUAAUAUUUCAAAGUUUAGAUCAACCUAUAGAAUAUAUCAUACAAAAGACAAACAAUAGGUCUUAUACAACUAUUAAACAAGAUAAGAGUUUUUGGUGGAUGCCUUGGGUCUGAAAGUCGAUGAAGGACGUGAUUACCUGCGAUAAGCCUCGGUUAGCUGGAAAUAAGCUUUGACCCGGGGAUUUCCGGAUGGGGAAACCCAAUUGAGCUAAUCCUCAAUUAUCAUUUUGAUGAAUCAAAUAGUCAAAUGAAGAGACACGCUGUGAAUUGAAACAUCUCAGUAGCAGCAGGAAAAGAAAAUAAAGAAUGAUUCCCUCAGUAGUGGCGAGCGAAAGGGGAACAGCCCAAACCAACAUUCGUUGUUGGGGUUAUAGGACUACAUUUUAGAGUUUUAAAAAAUUUAGACAUAGCAGAAUAAGUUGGAAUGCUUAAACAAAGAGGGUGAAAUUCCCGUAAGCAAAAUGGCUAAAUCUCUUUGUAGUAUCCUGAGUAGGGCGGGGCACGUGAAACCCUGUCUGAAUUUGCCAGGACCACCUGGUAAGGCUAAAUACUAAUCAGACACCGAUAGUGAACUA